rnacentral:lncRNA from 1 species
UGAGAGAAAAGAUAAGAAUCAUAUCCUUAAAAUCCCUAUGUAGAUUUUGUUGGAGGUGGCAUAUAUUAUGCGAAGAUUUUGUUGCUAUAUUUUGAAAGUGGAAUAGCACCGUGUUUUUUUUUUUUUUUUUUUUUUUUUUUUUUUGUAAUUAGGGGUGGGUCUUAUGUAAAUUUUUUCAAUUUCACACAUUUGCUAAUCUGAGAUUCAGCAAUCAUCAAUUUAGAACGUCCCUAGUCCAAUUACACGGAAAAUCAUCUUACUGGUCAGUGGUACAAAUUUUACAACCGCCAUGAAGAAUAUUUAAGUGCUAGCAACAGACUAAUUUAAUAGCAAGAGACGUCCAAUUCCC